AAGUUGUCUGACUGCUCUCUUUUCUUUUGCUUUGAAAGAGUUUUAAUCAUGACAAUUGCUUUCUCCCCUCCGCUCCCGUGGAAAAGAAAAUUUCUGAGGUUUAGAUAAACUCCUUGACCUUACUCAGAGACUGAAAAUCUGAUUUUUCCUUUGUUUUUAUUUCUUGAUAGCCGGUAACUGCUUCAGUAUAAAAUAUCUUAAUUAAAUAUCAGCAUUCCUGUCACCAUUCACCAAGCAAGUGUAGCGUUUUGAUAAUUGAGUUGCUAUGCUCUUUUUCAGUUUCAUUUUCUUUUAGCACAUGUUUUUUAAAUUGCAAUAGCUAAGUAGUUGAUCAGAUGUUAAAGAGCCCAACAAGUCAUUCAUUCUAAUAAUUGGUUGUAGUUUGUUGCAAUAUGGAUGGUUGCUGAUCUUAAAUGUUUCUGUUCUCUGUGCUGUAAGUUUAUGGUUCACUUUUCUUUAUGGUUGUACUGAUAAUGCUUCAGCAGGUUCCUGUUUUUCCUAAAAUCUAAUUUAGUAAGCAAGAUAUGUUGUAAUCAGUUGCUGGUUGGAUAACUUUUGAUUGGAACCUGUUUAUGUACUUUGUAUGAGGUUUUGGGCCUUUUGUUUUGGCUAGUUGUAAUCAACUCUUAAGGGUGUUGUAUGACGCUAGCCUGGGAAGACACGUGGCCUGUAAUCUAAUUGUGAACUAAGCUUUGCCUGUCAAAAACUGGAGGCUGCCUCUUGUUUUUUGUAGUUGUGAAAUGUUGCUGAGUUUUAGAUGCUGCGAAGAUGUCCAGUAGCAGUAUGGAUUGUGGAUCGCAGGCGAUUUAACAGUUAUCUUUCCUUCCUACCCCACUAAACAAUUGAAGAGUGUAACAACUUUUGCUGUCCUUUUUCAAGGGCAAAAAGGUUUUAAGAUCUUCAAGGAGAUGCUAUUACUCUUCCCCAGAAUCGGAUAAAGAUGUGUCGAGUUUUCUUCCCCGAGCACCAUUAUAUGCAUGAUUCGCGCAUGCACUUCUCUGGUAAUUGGUUAUGAACGAUUGGCUUCGCUGUUGGAGUGUCGAUUUUUUCAUGUUUGAGUGGCAUGAAGAUAACAAUCUUGAAUGGUCUAAUUUAGAAAAGGAAAUAAGAGUUAGUUGUUGAGAGAACGUCUCAUUUGCAUCCGCACCAAUGAACAUUAUAAUUGAUUCAGUGUACGGUGUAAGCUGCUUGAUUCCCCUGGUGUUGAAAAUAACCUGUUUAUUGGUCGGGUGGCACAUCCGGCCUGGAUAUGGGCAAAAUUUUCAGCCCGCUGAACAAUUUGGUUUGCUUAUAAUUAGUCUGACUUAAAUAA